GAUGAACGCUGGCGGUAUGCUUUACACAUGCAAGUCGUACGAGAGUUUUUAAUUCAAGUGGCGGACGGGUGAGUAACACGUAAGAAUUUACCUUUAGGAGGGGGAUAACCACUGGAAACGGUUGCUAAUACCCCAUAUGCUUUCGAGUAAAAUGGAUUUUCCGCCUAAAGAAAAGCUUGCGGCUGAUUAGCUUGUUGGUGAGGUAAUGGCUCACCAAGGCGACGAUCAGUAUCUGGUUUGAGAGGAUGAUCAGACACACUGGAACUGAGACACGGUCCAGACUCCUACGGGAGGCAGCAGUGGGGAAUUUUCCGCAAUGGGCGAAAGCCUGACGGAGCAAUACCGCGUGAAGGAUGACUGCCUAUGGGUUGUAAACUUCUUUUUUCAGGGAGGAAUAAAUGACGUGUACCUGAAGAAUAAGCAUCGGCUAACUCCGUGCCAGCAGCCGCGGUAAGACGGAGGAUGCAAGUGUUAUCCGGAAUCACUGGGCGUAAAGCGUCUGUAGGUGGUUUAAUAAGUCAACUGUUAAAUCUUGAGGCUCAACUUCAAAACCGCAGUCGAAACUAUUAGACUAGAGUAUAGUAGGGGUAAAGGGAAUUUCCAGUGGAGCGGUGAAAUGCGUAGAUAUUGGAAAGAACACCGAUGGCGAAGCACUUUACUGGGCUAUUACUGACACUGAGAGACGAAAGCUAGGGU
rnacentral:rRNA from 1 species